UCCCUAGUGUCUCAGACAGUAAAGAAUUUGCCUGCAAUGUAGGAGACCCAGGUUCAGUCCCUGGGUGGGGAA
rnacentral:tRNA from 1 species